UAAAAUUUUACUUGUUUCUGCUAAUGGUUUUAAGGUAAUGGGUCUUGGUCUACAGCAGUAGUAAGAAAACCCUUCAUCGCAAAGUACUGAGACAACCAGCUAAUCUCAGUUAGCCUGGUAAACAAGGAAAUCAGAACUAAAGAAGACAGGCUGAGGAGAAGAAAGAAAAAGAACUCUCAGGACCCAAGCAUCCAGAUUCUUUAAGGGCCAGUUAGCCCCUUCCUAAGACACUCCCGUGACCCUCCUCUCCUCUCCGGGACUCACCAUCAUUUUACCAGACUGUGUUGACACCUGAUUGACUUAGCCUGAAACAGCUCGGAACUCCUGAGCUCAAGAGAGUCACCAGCCUCAGCCUGGGAUUACAGAUAUAUCUGAAGGUUUUCCUGAUUUCAAAGUGAUGCGGCUUCCCUUUGAAACCAUUUGGAAUUUGCUUUGGACCACAGGCAUAAAACUUCUUGAUUCCCCUCUGUUGGUCUCUAACGUGUCCCUUGGGCCGGCCUGGUAGGCCCUCAGCAGGUAUCAGAAGAGAAGAGAAGACCCUCGAGAAUUAGGACCACAAAGUUGGGUAUGGGAAAAGAAUUUUAAAGGCAGGUACAAGGCAAGUGAUUCAACUUUGACCAGCUGUUAUAAUACCUAAAAUGGACAGCCUUUUUCUUCCUUGAAGGAGUUGCCUGGGCAUGGGCACUGGAGCCCUGCAGGAAGGACAGAAAUGGGAACAUGAUUGGAAAACUAAAAGAAAAAAAAAAGAAAAAGGGAAAGUAUAGUCAAAGCAAGGUUGGGUGGGAUUUUUUUUUUUUG
rnacentral:lncRNA from 1 species